GCGUUCAGGGGCGCCUAGCGAACGUUGGCGGCCUCGCAAUCCGAGUCUGCGCUUCCUCUUCCGGCUAGCGGGGCCCAGCCACCCGCUCUGCCCCACGGGAGCGGCCCGAGGGCGGCCGGCCGGAGCACCGCGGCCUCGCGGGCGCAGGGGAGGGAGAGCGGGCGGAUACUGCACCUUCCCCCGGGCCCGCCCGAACCGUCCCGACGCGCUAUGGAGCGGGCCUACGCCGCUUCAUGCCGCGCCGCCUCCGCUCCCGUCUGGGCCACAGCAGCUUCCUCGGCGGCGGCACCGGCGGCACCCAGGCGGCGGACGAAGGGGCUUAAAGGCGGCGGCGACCGAGACGGCGGCAGAGGCCUGGGCACUUCCGGUUCCUGGAGCCCCGCCCUCCGACGGGGGGAAGGCUAGCGGCCGGACCAAGAAGGAUGACUCUCGCCACUGCGCGCGACCGGGCCCCACAGCGCCACCGAGCGGCCGGAGGAGGCGCGUCAAAUAGAUUGCCCGACCAGAAGAAAAACCCAGAAAAGGAUUUCCUGGAGAGAUGGGUCCGUAAUAGCUGUGCUUCUCUGCAGAAAACCCUAGAAACAGACGCUAACAGUGCCAACAGCCGGGGUUGCAGCACAGUACCCGUCUCAUUUGCCCGUGGGUCCUUGGGAUGGAGCCUCAGCACCGCUGAGAUGCAGAUGUAGAUAGAGGAGGGAGGACGAUGAUGAUGAUAAGACGACAAGAGGAGGAGGAGGAAAACUGAAGAGCAACAAAUCCGAGUUUCUUAUCUGCUGGCCACAGAAAUUCUGGCCCAGAGGUUAUAUUAUAGUACCAGUGGUGACCAACCCAGGAUGACUCUGUGCUUUCCGUCUGUAGUAGCCAAAACAAAAUGCAUUUCAUGUUUCAGUAACUUUCACCUCAGAGGUCAGCAAAUAAGUCUCAGGUUUCAAAUAUGCUAGAUUAAAAGGAUUUUUGUAUCUCAAUCCACAUCUACCAAAAUUGCCAAACUGACUAAAAAUAACAACAAAAAAAUGUUUUCCAAACAUAGGAUUUCCAAACAUUGCCAGUAAAUGUAAACUUACUGAGA